GAGAAUGAAAAAUCGUGGAAGGGUAGGCCUGCAACAAAGAGAGGAUGUAGAAAUAAAUCCAUGACUCACAAAACAAAUAUACCCAGAUCUAAUCUCUCCCGGAAUGGAUAAAUAUUGAUUACGCCCGUCUAUAUAAAGGUGAGAUUAGCAUCAACUUUUUGAAUAAUGUUCAAUUCACAUGUGGAGUUAUUACAGGGGUUUAUUUAUUCAUCUUUUAAUCUUUGAGGUGCUUCACAUACUCUUUUGGGUGAGAGACUGCACUAUAAUGUGUUCUGAACUAAUCCUGGAAACUAUAAAUGUAUCAUGAAUGAACAAAUUGCGUUUAUUUUUCACGAGUAUAUGUGGGUAUGAACAAUGUGAGAUUGACCUAAAAAAUGAUCUUAAUCCCCUUUGGAGCUCUAAAUAGGAGAAGGGUUUUUGAGCUGAAUGAUCCGACCCUCAACAUUUGUAUCCAUAUUUCAGAAUUUUUAACUCUUGUAAAAAUACCAUCAUACCGAAAAGAAAUCUCAUACCUUCUUGUUCGCCUAAAAUGUAAAAUGGAAUAUGAGCAAUCAUCUUUUUGCUGCCUUCACUCCAGUUGACAGUGCCUGGAUUCUGCAUAUGUCCAUGAGAAGGUCGUGAAGGCCCCAAAACAGACAAACAUAUUGCUGGUUCAUUCAUUAAGCCCAAAUAAUCAUGUGCACGUCUCCAAACCCUCGCAUCAGACAUUCGAGAUCGAGCUACCUAAAAUGCAUUCAAUAUAACUUGCUUUAGCACAAACCAAUGUACAGACCUUGGCAAAACCUGAUAAACAAAAUAUUACAGUUAAAACCUGAUAAACAGACCUUGGCUAGAGAUACACGUGCCCUUGGUAAUAAUUCACGGUGGUAUGUGGCAAGCUUUGCAAUAGCAGUCACAACAAAACAUAGAAGCCUUGACUGUGAUGAUUUUCUGAAAGUUGCACCAUCGGAGCUAAGAGCUGACUCCUGCCUUAAGCCCAGGCGACUUCCCAGACAAAUAGAAGAGAUAAAAAUCAGCAUGUAAAUAGCCAACAUUACAAUGCAAAUCUCAGAAAGUACAAAUAGAAGGGCUAUUAAAACACCUACCUAGAAGAAAGGUUUUCAUACAAAAGUAGUUCUAAACUCUCGAAAAGCUCACGAGCUGCAUCUCCAUGUGAUGCACCACCUCCUCCAUGCUCCCCAAUGGCCCAACACAAUUGCAAUGCCAAUUCUGUCUGUGGGAGAAAACUAAUAAAGAAAGAGUUGUUCCACAUUGCCUAGAGCAGCAGGAGGAAGACAACUGACCUUUGCAGUGCUGUCAUAAGCUUCUGCAAGUCUGUCCAUUAUAGGCUUCUGCAAGGGAUUUAAGAUGAUCACAACUGUGCAAUACAUAGGAGUAGAAAAGGUUCAAGUUUUCUACAAAAGAUCCAUCAGAAGUACAUUAAAAGACGUAGAUAUAUUGCAUAGUUUGUAGCUAUAACAAAUGCAUACACUCUUCUGACAAUUAUCACUUACACAAGCAUACCCAACAUAUAUAAUAAAACAGAGGGUAAACCACACUUUAAUAAGCAAUAAGGCUCAUUAUAAAGGCCUCAUUUAGUUUCACUGCUAUAAAUCCCUCCAUAUUAUGGUAUAUUGUCCAAGAAAAUCACACCUUGUCCAUAUAAGAAAAUUCCAAUAGCCAAUAAAGAUUUUCAUAUUAGCAUGGAAGGAAUAGUUUUCUACCCAAUAAAAUUACAACAGUUUAACACUUUCAGAAGAUGUACAGACACAAUCAGGGUGCUGGGGUCUAUCCAGCAAGCUACAACUCAUCUUCCCCAGUUUGUACUAGUUUUUAUGGUGUAACCUAUUUAAUUCAUUCUUCUAAUAGUUAGGAUAAGGUUUUAGUUAGGUGCCACAUAUACUUAUCUAUCAAAUUCUACAAUUCCAGUUUCGGACUAUCAUUAUUCUAAUUAUCUUACUACCAUUUAAACUUAUUUCAAAAUUUUAGUAGGUAUGGUGGACCAUUCAUCCAAGUGGUUGAAAUACUAUCACUACAGCAUUAAAUAUACAAACAAGAUUGGAAAAUACCUUCAGCAGUGCAAUAAAAUCUGGAGAUCGCUGGAAUGCAGCAAGCAUAAAUUCUAAGAGCCUCUUUCGAACCUACAAAGAUAUAUAAUUCAGAAAUCCAAAGCUCUACCAACUUUAUAAACUUGUAAUUCAUUGUAAGAAUCUCCCAGCAAAAAAUCCUUGAUUUGGAAAACAUAUCAUAUCAGUAACUUAAGGUCAUAAAUACAAAUGCAGCUUCCAAGUUCAAGCAGCAACAGUUUUAUUGUAUUUAGAAAAACAAGAAUGUACAGAAGAAGCCAAGAGAAUAGGUAACAUUAGAUACAAAAGAGGCUACAUUACAAAAAUAAAAAAUAUCUAAUAUUUGUGCAUGCAUUGGUAACUUAUCACACUCUUUAUUUCUUGAUAAUGCAACUUUUAUUAAUAAAGUAAGAUGUAUAAUCAAUGCAAAGCAGGAAAAUCAUAAGCAGGCAGCUGUAAAAAAUUUAAUCUUGGAAAUGUUGUUUCAGUAAAGACAAUAAGCCAACAGGAACACUCUUUGCAUCAGGGAGUACAUUUGGAUUGAUAGUUCCCUUUUUGAGGAAUCCUAGAAAAUCAAAUCCCCAGAAAUUCAAAUUUUUGGAUUAGAAUAUUAAGUUCUAACAAAUUUGUGGGGGUAUGUUGGUAAUGGUGGGUGUAGAGAUAGGAAGGGUGCAAGACAUUGAGGUCUAGGCAGUUGUCAUGGUGGUCAUAGUGGCAGCUAUGGCAGUAGGCCAGCAAUUCCCUUUCGUGAAGUGCCAAAAAGGUGGAAACUGAUCCUGAAUAAUUUGAUGUCCAAUGGUGAACUUAAAUUCCCUCUUUCUCAAUGUCCAAACGGACCCAAGACAACCAAAGGUGGCCUUCUAAAAAAUGUCUUUUCUAAUCUCCUGAAUCUCCUUCAGUUUCCAGGCAUGACAAGGUACUUGUUUCUUUCAGUAUGUUAUUGCCUUUACAAAUAAAAAUUCGAAAAGCAAACCAAAACAAGAACUUCCAUUCAAAAGAAAGAGAACCUUAAAACUAUAUGAAAAGCUAUUCAAGUACCUCAUAAGAGAAAAUUUUGUCGGGAAAUAUUGUAGCAUUCCUUGUCAUAAUUAGGGGAAGUAAUGCGCAGAUUAAAGCUGCAAUAGAAAUGUAGAAAUUCAGAAUUGCCACCACAUUAGCAGGCUAAUGAUACAUCUUAUAAAUGCCUUCUGCAAAUGCAAGCUUCCUAUACAAUAAAAUUUGAUGUCAAGCAAAUAUGAAGAUAAAAGUGGUAACAACAUACAAUUAUUGACAUCACGUAAUGCAAUAGCAAAAUACAUAUCAAGAACCCGAGGUGCCAUAUUGAGUGAUUGUUUAAGCCUAUCAGACUGAGGGGUAUUAAUAGCAGCCUGUAGAGCUGCAGCAAUUCCAGGAGAAGUCCAGUGCCGUUCCUGAAUACAACAUAGGUUGUUAAUAACCAUUAUUUCUUCAACUCUCAGGUUGAUUGUCAAAGAAAAUCCUAAAUAAGUCAGUUAUACCAUGUAUAAAUAUAUUGCAAAUGGAAAUAGUCCCUGUUUGAAAAAAUCAAGUAGAGAAAAAACCAUGACUAAAUAUAGAGUUGUCCAAGGCUAGAGGUAGGCCCAUGACAAGCUCCAGGUAUUAAUAUUACUGAACUCUGACUCUUGGGGAGAAAAGGUAUAUCCAUGGCAUCAACAUAUUGUAAUAAGCUCCAACACAAAGAAACAAUAAUACUAAAUGGGAAAAAUUAAUUCAGGGUGUACAUGUACAUAUAUAUCCAUAUUUUGUUCUUUUUUCAUUGCACCUUGUUUUAGUUGCAACCCACUUCCUAUCCAUCUAUCAUAGAGAGAGAGAGAGAGAGAAUAAUAACCUUAGGAAGAAUCAAGAUUCCUUGGUAUUCCUACACUACACUUGCUACACAAAAUGUAAUGUAAAAGUAAGACAAAGACAAAACCAUACAGCAAGGCCAUCAUUCUCAUCUUUAAGAAGGUCAAAAAACAAUGGAUCAGCUACAUCUAUUGCAUUGCUAUCCUCAGAUUCAGAGUCUCCUCCUCCAUCUCCUAUUGUUGAACCAGUAUAAGCUUCAUCCAUUAGCGCAAGUAGCAUCUGCAUUCAUGCAUUUGGUAUCCUCAAUUGAACUAUUAGCUUAAUUUAACUUCCAUUUAUGUAAGAUGUCGUAAGUUUUAAAAAUAACCUCAGGAGCCGUACUCUUCUGAAUUGAAGCUAUGCUACUACCAAUCAGUGGUCCGGAGCUACGUUCUACCUUCUCCAAUGCCACUACCAAUACUGUGAAAAAUGAGAAAAAAGAAAUGUCAAACCAUGUAAGUUGAAAAAAAAAAUAUCAAUUCAUAAUGCCCUAGAACAUGGUUCAACAUUCCAAAUCGCAAGGCCAAUUAUCAAAAUCACAGGCAAGAUCUUUGCAUGCAUCAUUAACUAAGGAAAAAAUAUAUUACAAGUUUGUGGGAAAUACAACUGACGUGUUUCUUUUUUAGGAAAAGAACAAAAGAAUGUUGAGAGAAAAGUUGCUUUACAAACACUUUGACCAUCACAGCUGCUCCCUUCAAACACGAACAAGUUAACAUGGCUUUUUCCCCCUUUUUUCAUAGAUUAGUUUAAGAAAUGCUAUCACACGACGCAAAACAAAAAUUCAAAAUAAAUACAAAUCUUGAUCAUUAUGUAUUUUCUUUCAUGUUCCGUAAAGAAAAUAAAUUCUAAAGAACCCAAACAUCGAACUUGGAAAAGGAUUAUUCAACUUUUGUUUUUCCUGUGUAUAGACAUUUUCAAAGCUUUUGGCAUGUCCUGUAGCUAUGUUAAAUGUGAUGCUCUUGUGCACACCAACAGAUAAUUGAAUAUAGCAAACAUGUCUACAGUCUUCAACAAGAUUAUCUAUAAAGCUUCUAAAGGUAAAAUGACCCAAAAGAUCACAAGAACACCAUAUAAAAGAAAUAAAAACAGAAUGAAGUAGUUAGUGGCAAGCAAUAAAACAAAAUAAAAAAUAAAAACACUCACUUGGCAAGUCCAACACUGAUGGGAACAGUGGAAGAAAUGACCCAGGAGAUAUUAAUCCUGGGAAAACCUUUAAAAAUGAUUUCUCUAAUCUGCAUGACAAAAUAGAUAUUAAAACAUUUUUUAUCCUCAAUUCAAUCCAGUUAGAUGUGAUAUUAAAAAAAAUCUGCUAUGAAGCAUUCUCUAAAACAAGUCACCGUCUGUUGCAUGUAUAAUGAAUCAUAAUCACGAUAGGUAAACAAGAUUUUGCCAACCACAGGGAUCAUACCCAAAACACUUCAAAUUAGUUAUAGCAGAGGAGCAGCAUUGACUACAGUUAAGAGGAAAAAGAGGCGUGAAAGACACAGUCCCAACAUUUUUUAUACACCUAUAUUAGAAUUUAAAGCAUAUGAAAAAAAUCAACAAAAAGUAGUUCCAAUUCUACCAUAUUAAAUCUGAUUGGCCAUGACAAGAUAACAAAAGAGCAAUAUAUAAAACUAGGGAUACAGAAGCAAUCAUGAACUGCUUCACACAUAAAUCACAGUUCCAUCAAUUAGUAUUAACAUCUUACCCAAAACUUCAAAACAAAUAAAUAAGGACCUUUUUCAGUUGACAUUAAAAUAGAGACAAAAUAGGAAGCUUACUUCUCUCCAUUCCAAGCAAUCAGCUUCAGCAGUAAUGGAAAAAACUGCAAACACAUUAAGAUUAGAUGAAGAUAAAAGUGAUCAUAACAUUUAAUUCUUUUUAUUAGAAAAAGAUUGAGUAUUAAGCUUAAUUCACUUGGGCUUUUUAAAUUUGAUAUCUUCGUCCUCACUUAAAUAUAGAACCUCUCGAUCUUGUUAAGCCAAAAAUUGAAACCCAUGUUCUGUUCCAAGUUUCCUAUUUCUUUGAUAAAUUUUCAUCCAUAAUUACACAAAAGGCUUAGUGGAGAAAGAAAAUAUGAGCUGUUUGUUUCAGACGUUGCAAGCCACAAAUACUUAACUAAGACCAUGGAUUUUUAUUUUUAUUUUCCAUCUUUAUCUUUCUUAUGUCGGGAAUUUCUGGAGGUUAGAACCAAAUCCAAUUUAACCCACCAAAGACUACUAUCUUGCAGGGUCAGCAUAGGGGAAUCAGCCAAGAUCAGCCUGUACAGCCUGAAAUUUAAGCUGGUCAACCAAGGCAGUACUUGGGCAGAUAUCAAGCCUGAAGUUGUGGUUAGCCCUAGACUGGCCCAAUGUAAUUUUCUAUACAUAGUUGGGGCACUCAAACUCAGGCUAAUUCUCUAGGCUGUUCUCUGAAAAAUAUGAUCGGUAAGUUUAGGUGAAGAAAUAAAAUGAAGGUAAAGCUUCGAAAGGCUCAUGCUGGGUAUCUACAGUUAGUCUGUUAGAGCUGAGUUUGGCUGGGUUUAACCCUGACUAGCCUGAACAGACAGUAAGCCCUAGGUGGAUAUGUAUGAAGGUGUUUCCAUGGCUAAGCAUUCCCUUGACACGGCUCAACAGUGCUGUGUUU
rnacentral:lncRNA from 1 species